AUACAGAGGGUGCGAGCGUUAAUCGGAAUUACUGGGCGUAAAGCGCGCGUAGGCGGUUUGUUAAGUCGGAUGUGAAAGCCCUGGGCUUAACCUGGGAAUGGCAUUCGAUACUGCAGAGCUAGAGUAUGGUAGAGGGAAGUGGAAUUUCCGGUGUAGCGGUGAAAUGCGUAGAUAUCGGAAGGAACACCAGUGGCGAAGGCGGCUUCCUGGACCAAUACUGACACUGAGGUGCGAAAGCGUGGGGAGCAAACAGGAUUAGAAACCCCAGUAGUCC
rnacentral:rRNA from 1 species